UAACUUUCAACAACGGAUCUCUUGGCUCUUGCAUCGAUGAAGAACGCAGCGAAAUGCGAUAAGUAAUAUGAAUUGCAGAAUUCCGUGAAUCAUUAAAUCUUUGAACGCAAAUUGCACUUCUUGGUAUUCCGAGGAGUAUGCUUGCUUGAGGGUUGGUC
rnacentral:rRNA from 2 species